UGGAGCUCCACCCCGCACUGGACUCCUCCUGGCUCUUGAAGCUUCAUUUUGCACUGGACUCCCCGCCAGGUAAUAAUGUCCUCUUCUCCUCUUCUUCCCCUUCAGAACAAUCCUAUCACCGCAUAGCACCUUCAGGAUUUCUCCACUAGCUACCGUCUUGUAGUCUCUCGAAUCCAGUCUGCUCAAUGAGAUAAGAUUUCGUCUAAAAUCGGACA
rnacentral:lncRNA from 1 species